GUUCUUGCUACAGGAGGACAUAUAUUAAAAUUGAAAUCAUACAGAGAAAAUUAGCAAGAAUGACAAGCAAAAUUGUCAAGCCUUCCACAUUUUU
rfam:Glossina pallidipes unplaced genomic scaffold Scaffold9, whole genome shotgun sequence.